rnacentral:rRNA from 1 species
CGACUUGGAGGUUGUGCCCUUGAGGCGUGGCUUCCGGAGCUAACGCGUUAAGUCGACCGCCUGGGGAGUACGGCCGCAAGGUUAAAACUCAAAUGAAUUGACGGGGGCCCGCACAAGCGGUGGAGCAUGUGGUUUAAUUCGAUGCAACGCGAAGAACCUUACCUACUCUUGACAUCCACGGAAUUCGGCAGAGAUGCCUUAGUGCCUUCGGGAACCGUGAGACAGGUGCUGCAUGGCUGUCGUCAGCUCGUGUUGUGAAAUGUUGGGUUAAGUCCCGCAACGAGCGCAACCCUUAUCCUUUGUUGCCAGCGAUACGGUCGGGAACUCAAAGGAGACUGCCGGUGAUAAACCGGAGGAAGGUGGGGAUGACGUCAAGUCAUCAUGGCCCUUACGAGUAGGGCUACACACGUGCUACAAUGGCGCAUACAAAGAGAAGCGACCUCGCGAGAGCAAGCGGACCUCACAAAGUGCGUCGUAGUCCGGAUCGGAGUCUGCAACUCGACUCCGUGAAGUCGGAAUCGCUAGUAAUCGUGGAUCAGAAUGCCACGGUGAAUACGUUCCCGGGCCUUGUACACACCGCCCGUCACACCAUGGGAGUGGGUUGCAAAAGAAGUAGGUAGCUUAACCUUCGGGAGGGCGCUUACCACUUUGUGAUUCAUGACUGGGGUGAAGUCGUAACAAGGUAUC